rnacentral:rRNA from 1 species
GAUGAACGCUGGCGGCGUGCCUAAUACAUGCAAGUCGAGCGAACGGACGAGAAGCUUGCUUCUCUGAUGUUAGCGGCGGACGGGUGAGUAACACGUGGAUAACCUACCUAUAAGACUGGGAUAACUUCGGGAAACCGGAGCUAAUACCGGAUGAUAUUUUGAACCGCAUGGUUCAAAAGUGAAAGACGGUCUUGCUGUCACUUAUAGAUGGAUCCGCGCUGCAUUAGCUAGUUGGUAAGGUAACGGCUUACCAAGGCAACGAUGCAUAGCCGACCUGAGAGGGAGGCGGGCAACAAGAGAAAGAAGACGGGGCCCAGACACCUGGGGGGGGACGCAGAGGGGAAUCUUCGGAAGAGGGGGAAGGCUGGAGGAGGCACGGCGGGGGGAGGGAUAAAGUUGUAAGGAGCGAAAAACUGUUUGAUGGGGAAAAAACAGUUGGGUAAGUACCGGGACACAUCGUGCGGGAACUUAAUAAGAAAGCCAGGACAACCCCCGGC